GGAACUUGAAGAUAGGUUAUCCGUGUAGCCUUCGCUUUACUUGUGACGAAUCAUACACGGUUCACCUAUUUUUUAGUACC
rnacentral:pre_miRNA from 8 species